GACGAACGCUGGCGGCGUGCCUAAUACAUGCAAGUAGGACGCAGUUGCGAACGGGUGAGUAACGCGUAGGUAACUGCCUCUUAGAGGGGGAUAACUAUUGGAAACGAUAGCUAAUACCGCCUACUAGUAGAUGGACCUGCGUUGGAUUAGCUAGGAGGUAGGGGAAUGGCCUCCCUAGGGGACGAUACAUAGCCGACCUGAGAGGGUGAUCGGCCAAACUGGGACGGGGACACGGCCCCGACCCCUCCGGGAGGCAGCAGUAGGGAAUCUUCGGCAAUGGGGGGAACCCUGACCGAGCAACGCCGCGUGAGUGAAGAAGGUUUUCGGAUCGUAAAGCUCUGUUGUUAAGGAAGCGGUACUUAACCAGAAAGGGACGGCUAACUACGUGCCAGCAGCCGCGGUAAUUC
rnacentral:rRNA from 1 species